GUACUCGCUUCGGCGUUACAUGUACUAAAAUUGGAACGAUACAGAGAAGACUAGCAUGGCCACUACGCAAGGAUGACACGCAAAAUCUUGAAGCGUUCCACAUUGUU